CCAGCCUGCACAACCCGCUUCCCCCCGUUUCGCAGGCCCAGGAGCGGUUCCACAAUUUUUUUUCUCCUGUCCAAAAGUAUUUUGAGAUUUUGAGAUGGUGGAUAUCGUCGAAUAGUCGUGGAAAUUUGCGUGAGAAGUGUUUUUUCCAUCGCGUGCGUGAAAUUCGCUUCCGGAGCGUUUGUGAAGUCGCGUAGAAUCUCGUUCGGGCAGACGUUUCGUUUCAGGCUGGCUGGCGAAGAAAGCCACGGCUCCCCCCUGAGCGCCCUGAGUGCAUUCGAUAAUUAAUUGUUGGGGCCCCGCAACACUCCGGCGACAACGACGACCCUUGCGCUCUGCAGCGCCGAGAACGCACAGAACCUGAAUAUCUUCAUGCAACGAUCGUGAAAGCAGAACGCGUGAACGCUGCUGCCAGUCUCAUUCGCCGCUUGAGGAACGGAAAAUAUGUGGCGGUUCGCGGCCGCAGUCGUCUGAGGAAAAUCGGGAAAAGUGAGCAGCCAACGAGCGGUGAAAAUCGUGAGUGCAGUGAAAAGUUGCCCGUCGCCGUCGUCGCCAUCGCAUUGCCAGUCACAGUGAGCACGGGAGCAUGUGAAAAUCCGUCCGCCUGCCAGGCCAUUUCCCGGGGAAAAUGUUGUGUAACUGCGAGUUUUCACGGCGCUGAGUUCUCGCUUCGCUCUGCCUUUCUGUCUGUGCACUUUGCUCGCUCUGGGUGCCGUUGCAUCGCGCGAUCGAGUCCGACAUCGACUUGUGAACGAGUUGGAGUGAAAAUUUUCCAGGCGGCGACCGGACGUGUGACUCUGCUCCGGAUCGAAAAGAGUGCGUCCUUCGAUCGGCGGAAAACUCGUUUUCCCGACAGCCAGUGAACCGGCGAAGAGUCGCGCGGAAGCCGCACGACAGUAUUGUGCCGCGGAAAAUUCGCAGAGAGCGGGACGAGUGAAAAUCAUUGCGAAUCGCAUGUGAAAAUUCCGACAGGACUUCGUGCGUGUUCCCACUCGAUUGUGUCCCCGUAGGGCCUUGCGGAUUGUUGCGCGGUUUGUGUGUGGUGAAGUGACAAAAGUCAGAGUUCCUGUGAUCCUUUAGCCCCGCGACAAGGACAGACGAACGAAAAUGAAUUUCGACACGCGGAACAACUCGGCGCUGAUGAAGCGCGCGGAGCAGCUUCGGCGCUGGGAGGAAUCUGACACGAAUCGUGAGCCAACCGUACCGAAAAAUGAGCGGGGCCGGAAAAUCAAAUUCUCGCUGGGAUGCGUGUUCCUAGCGGCCUGCAUCGCCGGCGACAAGGAUGAAGUCGUGCGGCUGCUGGAGAGCGGCGCCGACAUAAACACGGCCAACGUCGAUGGACUGACUGCAUUGCAUCAAGCCUGCAUUGAUGAUAAUUUAGAAAUGGUGGAGUUUUUAGUUAGUCAUGGAGCAGAUAUCAAUCGACAGGAUAACGAAGGCUGGACGCCUUUACACGCCACAGCCUCUUGUGGGUUUGUUAGUAUAGCACGAUACUUAAUUGAAAACGGAGCAGAUCUAACAGCAAUAAAUAGUGACGGUGAAUUAGCAAUAGAUUUAGCAUCAACAAAUUCUAUGGCAGAUCACCUACAGACAAUAUACGAUGAAAAUGGUAUAGAUUGCGAUCAUGCACGCCAAAGCGAGGAACAAAUAAUGUUAAGUGAUGCCAAGAAAUGGCUAAGAAGUGAUGCUUCCGAGGCGGAUAAGCCACAUCCUAAGACUGGAGCAACAGCACUUCAUGUUGCUGCUGCCAAAGGCUACACAAAAGUAUUAAGUCUUUUACUAGCUGGACGAGCCAAUGUUGAUAAGCAGGACAAUGAUGGUUGGACGCCAAUGCAUGCGGCCGCGCAUUGGGGUCAAAAAGAAGCAAUUCAAAUGCUUGUCGAUGCAAUGGCUGAUAUUGAUAUUAAAAAUUAUGCCGGACAAACACCAAUUGAUGUAGCGGAACCAUCAAUUGUUAAAUUCUUAGAGGAGAUUAAGGCGACUAACAAGAGAAUUAAACGAAGGCCUACUAGUCAAAUACGAAUUUCGGAUACAAUUGAAAAUCACAUCGAAGCGCCUGCGAAGAUGAUUCGGGUUGAAGUCAAGUCUGAUUCGAAGGAUACAGUCAAUGACGAUAAUACGGAUGGGUUAGCAAGAAUUGUUGAGAAUGAAGAAAGUGAUUCAGAUAUCACCGAUUCCACAGAAAGUUCACAUUCAACAAGUAUUUCCGACAAUUUAGAAGAUAAAUCUAAAACUACAUCAGAAUCUGUUGCGCCGACACCCGCGGAUAACAAUACAGGUGUUGAAGAGGAUGCACCAUGGAGACGCAGUAGUUCGCUUAGAAGUCGAACACAAAUUGAAAAUCCUACUAAAACUCAAGUUCCUGAAAAAGACGCAAAAUCAACUGACUCAGAAGUGAUAUUAAGACGUACACAAAGUUUCGAAAACGACGAAAAAUUCUAUCAAAAAUACCAUGAACUCCGUGCAAGAAUAAAAGCAAAUUCGUGUCCAAUACUACCAGCUACUCAGCAAACAGGUGUUUUAGGUGCCGUUAAUCCACCAAACAAUUAUUCAGUACAAAGGUCUGCAUCUUUAAAAGAUCAUAAAAAUCUCAGGAAAACAACAGUAUCUUUACCAGUUAGUCCGAGUACGCCAAAUACUACUCCACCUAAUACUGGCCAAGUUAGAAGUCUUGAUAACGAGGUUGAAAAUGAAAACGGUAAAGCGGAAACAGCUUCCAAUGGAAAAUCGAAAAGUAACGAUUCAGGAUCGUUCCGUAGUAAAAUGUCUCCCGGAGCUCUUUUCAAAAAUUUCUUCAAGUCGUUUGUGCCACCAGUUCGUGAUGAAGAAAGUGAGACACAACGUAAGGCUCACGCGAAGAGAGUCCGUGAAACUCGUCGCUCAACACAAGGUGUCACAUUGGAUGAGAUCAAAAGUGCUGAGGAACUUGUUAAGAAGAAAAAUCUUAAUAAUAACAACAAUAACCCGAAUAAUGAAGUUCCAAAUACCAUCACCACCGAAACACCAUCCAUCACGCAUACAACCACAACAACACCUACUGUUAAUGUAACGUUAAACGAUCGAGUUCCUUCGACAACAUCGGCUUCGUUUGAUGAUAAUUCGGUGCUAGUAGGAUUCAAACCAAUUGAUCCCGCUCCAAGCGGUGCCACAUCGAAUAGUGCUGAAGAAGAAAUAUCCGCAACAUUUACAAUGACCGUGCCCACGUCUAGUUCGACGAAAGAUAGGGAAAGGAUAACAGAUUCGGCCGCUUCGGAGGAACUGACUAGUGAUAGCAAUGUGUCGUAUACUUUGCCACCAUCUCAACAUCCCGCAACCUCGACGAUAGGCUCGGAUCCGUCCAAUUCAGCAGAUUUAGAUUUUACGAAUGAUGACAAAAGUAGAUCAGAUGAUGGUGGAGAUAAUGAUAGGGAUGAUGUUUUCACUGACGUUUCGGCCACCCUCAAUGUGCCUCUUUCAAGUAAUUGCGCUUACAAAAAGACUGAUACAGAUGCAAACGCCGAAGAUGUAAUCCGAACAGCAUCACCCACAAUUUUAACAGUCGAUAGUCGAUCAGCAUCAGAAUCAGAACGAGCCAAGCCACAUUUAUCUAGUCCAUUAGAAGAAGAAGUUACGCUUAGGACACCUAGGGAUGCUAAGGACAAGCGUUCGCUAUUCGAUAUCGACAAUGCCAACUCCUUAACGUUAGCUGAAAAGCUUAGGAACGAGGCGAACAAGUAUAAUGAGAGUGUUAGCCAGUCGAAUACUGACAUCAUGAGCGUGGGGUUAACAACGAGGCCGACUGUUACGGGAACUGAUGAAAUUGCAGACGAAAGAUCUGGAAGGAGACCUGAGUCGAUGCCUUCGUCUCCGUUACAUAUGAACGCUGCGGAACGAAGGCCUUCGUGGCGGUUGAAAUUCGACAGCGGGAACAAGUUCAAGCUGGAAGAUGCAUCUACUGGUUCGCCUAUUGCUUCAAAUAAUAGUACAAUAAUAACUAGUGCACCAGCUGUCAUUGCUGCUGCUAAUUUGUCUUCGUCAGUAACGCAACGAAGAACUAAUAACAACACAGCUACCCCCAAUAUACAACCCCAAAGGCCAGUAUCAGCGCCAGUUAUAUCGACGACUUCUGGCAAUGAUCAAUCAAAUGAUAGAACAAAAGAAACGCCAAAUGAAGUCACAUUGUCGUUGAGGCGGAACAGGAAUACAGAGGACAAAGAAAAUGAUAAAGAGAAUGAUAGCCGAAGUGCACAAGCUACACAAGCUGUUAUACAGAGACGAAGGCGACCAAAGAGGAGGUCAACUGGAGUCGUACAUUUGGAUAUGGACGACAAUGAUCCCGAUAGACAAGAUUCACCCGCCGAGAAUGACGAAAAAGAGAGUGGAAGUGAACGAUUAUCACGCUCUCGUGUAGGAUCAAGUGGUUCAUUGUCUGGUGAACAAAAUGACAGUAAGUCAAAUACAGAUGCAACAGAAAAUGGUGAAGUAAUUGACUAUAAAGCAUUAUGGGAAGCUGUAAAGUUAGAAAACGAACAGUUAAAGCAAGAACUGAAGAAAAAGGAUGAAGAACUAUCAACGGCAAAAGCUGCCGUUGAUAGGUUUGCAAACGCAACAACUAAAAAUUCUUUAUCAGAAUUGGAAAAACGUGAACGACGAGCAAUGGAACGUAAACUUUCCGAAAUGGAAGAAGAACUUAAGCUACUACAAAAAUAUAAGACUGAGAAUGAACGCCUGCGAGCCGAAAAUCGAGCUUUAACUCGUGUCGUAUCUAAACUUACAAAUUCGGCUCAAAAUCAGCAGCAGAACAAAAAAUAAAUCGAAUCAUUGGAUUUGCGAGCGUGAAAUAUAUCUGAACGUUUAGGAUAUUCGACAAAGUGUAUCAAAAUCAACUUUAAAUCAAAAUAUUUAAAACAUUCAUAGAAGAAAACAAAAUAUGCAUUAUUAAGACUCAUCACACUAUCCGUAUCUCCUAUCUUGCUGUAUCUAAAUUCCAUCAUAUAUUCAUCGUUGUUUCAUUGACUAUUGAUUAUGCAUAUAUGCUUAAUUAGACAUUUGCGAAUAUCUUUGUAUUAUAAGAAAUGGUAUAAAGCAUGGAAAGUGCAUUGAGUAUGCACGCGAAAUCGUCGAAAGAAGGAAAGUUACAUAAAGGACAUCGUAAAGUUUGGGAGAAUAGUUUAAUAGCGAGGAACGUUGAUGCGAUUUGCUCGCAUCUGGACGUGUUGAAAGCAGAAAAUCAACGUCUCAAGGAAGAAAAUGGAGCGUUAAUUCGUGUGAUUAGCAAAUUAAGCAAAUAAUCAAAGUUAUAAUCGGAAUGUGUGUGUAUAAUCGAUCUAGAUGCAGGUAUCCACCAGAUUUAACCCUUUUGAUAUAUCCUUUAUAUACUAUUUAUACGAAGAUUAAAAGAGAUAUUAUCGGUCUAGAACGGAAACCAACAUAAAUUUAUCUAUCGAAAAUGUUUGUUUUGUGUAACUGUAAAUUUUCAGGAGCAUAAAAAAUUGUAAUGCUUUAUUUAGAUUUGAACUGUUGACAUAAUGUAAUACUAUUUUGCCGUAUACUCAAAACUACGAAUAAAAAAUACAAUAGACGCUUAGGAAUUCGAUCGUUUUGAUUUUAAAUAAUUCAAAUGCAUAAUAUCAUAUGACGCUCUAUUUUGUUGUAAAUAUCUGAACGUUUCAAUAUUGUAAUGUUAACUGAACUAUAGUUGAUAAUUGUACCAUAAGGAACUCCAAGCAAAACACAAAAAAUAAGCUUCAUGGCAAACGAAUCCUCUGAUCAUCAUUGUUCGCUUUUGAUUUCAUCCUUUUUGGUCAAUUACUUCCAACGAAUGUAUUGCAGAAGUAAAUGUACGAAGUGAGAGACUAAGUUAAUCACACUUACAAUUCUUAUUAUCUUUUUACGCUAUUUAUUUUCAACGUGUACGUAAUAUAACGUCAUAGAACAAGAAGCAAAGAAUAUGCUAAUCAUCUGCUCUGCUCUGAAAGUAUUUUUUUUUCUUGAAGUAUGCAAAACUUACAGCACUUUUGAAUAUUUUUAAUGUUAUAAAUUAUUAUUAUGAUUACUAUGUCGUUCCCUUACUAUUAUUAUUUUUGACAAUUUUUUUUGCAUAUUUGAUUUUUUAAAUUUUCUAUUCUUUCAUGUCAUUGAUCGAAAUUUUCAUAACUAUGUGUAAAACAUUUUUGAUUUUGUUAAAGAAUAUAAAAUCACACUUUUAGUCGUUUUAGUUGUUUAUUGUAUUUGUAUUUGAUAAAUGAUUUUAACUUGUAAAGAAAUGUGUUUCGAAAUAAUUCUUAACUUUUAUUUUAAUUUGUUAUUAGUAAUUCUUUUAAAAGUUAGAAUGCUGUCUAAUCGUAAAUAAAAUGUAAAAUGAAAAAUAAUAAAAAGAAUUACAAAUGAA